rnacentral:lncRNA from 1 species
UUUCGAUUAUCGACUCAUCGUUUGUGGUGUCUCACCCUUAGGUUUGGAUCCCCAUCUUUCUAUCUAUCUUCCUCAAGGGUCAUGGCCGUCGGUGAUCGGCCAAUGAUCAGAGAAAUUUAAGAAAAGGGGGCGGUCCCCUAUUUUUUCGAUUUUUUCUUGAUUUCUCACUAGCCGAACCUUGCCGCUAGCCAUUUCUUACCCCAUCGUCGUCGGUCAUAACUGCC